GUUUGUUCUUGCCAGCGGCUAGGUGUGUAGUUGCUUGGGGCUCCUAGCACGAGGCCUCUGUCCCCAGGCACGCAGCGCCAGUCUCCGGCUGUUGCGCCCUGGGCGCCGCCUCUCUCCGGCCCCCCUUUGUUUCCUGAGCCAGCUGGGAAGACUAAAAGGGUGGGUCCUGGGAGCGGCCCAUGGUUCGACCCUUCUUUUCAGGCAUCCUUGGAGCAUGCAGGCUGCAGAUUUCAGGCCGACCCCGCUAGCACCAAAGUCCAUGCUGCUGUCCGUGGCAGCUCAGUUUGAAAAUGGCCUGGUAGAAAGUCCAGGUUGUUGAACUGGUAAACGCACUCUGCAUCCCUUGACUUGAAGUUUUCAUUAUUCUCUAACGUGCACUUACCCCCAGUAGAGAGCAAAUGAAGAUUCAUACAAGAAAUACUGCCUUUCCCAAAAUGGGACAUUCCAGCAAGGGUGCCGGUACUGACUUGGGUUAGCUUAAGAGAGAGAUGCAGUUGAAAAGCUUGUCGGCAGGGAUCAGGGAAGACUUCCACUAAGUGGUGUGUAUUCAAAGGAGAGGUAGGAAUUGGUUAGGUGGACGACAUGCUCCACCAUCCAAGAAGAACAUUCCAGAUGGAACUCAGGCAAAAGCACAAAGUUCGAAAAGUCAGAAGUGCAGGGGAAGUGGUAAAUAUUUCGACACCAUCCAGAUAAAUGGUUGUUUUUGGUUUUUUGGGAUGGGGGACAGGGUCUUGCUCUGUUGCCCAGGCUGGAGUGCAGUGGCACGAUCUCGGCUCACUGCAACCUCCGUCUCCCGGGUUCAAGCGAUUCUCCUGCCUCAGCCUCCCCAGUAGCUAGAAUUACAGGCGCCUGCCACCAAGCCCAGCUAAUUUUUGUAUUUUUAAUAGAGACAGGGUUUCGCUAUGUUGGCCAGGCUGGUCUCGAACUCCUGACCUCAGUGAUCCUCCCA
rnacentral:lncRNA from 1 species